rnacentral:rRNA from 1 species
GAUGAACGCUGGCGGCGUGCCUAAUACAUGCAAGUCGAGCGAACAGACGAGGAGCUUGCUCCUCUGACGUUAGCGGCGGACGGGUGAGUAACACGUGGAUAACCUACCUAUAAGACUGGGAUAACUUCGGGAAACCGGAGCUCAUACCGGAUACUAUAUUGAACCGCAUGGUUCAAUAGUGAAAGACGGUUUUGCUGUCACUUAUAGAUGGAUCCGCGCCGCAUUAGCUAGUUGGUAAGGUAACGGCUUACCAAGGCAACGAUGCGUAGCCGACCUGAGAGGGUGAUCGGCCACACUGGAACUGAGACACGGUCCAGACUCCUACGGGAGGCAGCAGUAGGGAAUCUUCCGCAAUGGGCGAAAGCUUGACGGAGCAACGCCGCGUGAGUGAUGAAGGUCUUCGGAUCGUAAAACUCUGUUAUUAGGGAAGAACAAAUGUGUAAGUAACUAUGCACGUCGUGACGGUACCUAAUCAGAAAGCCACGGCUAACUACGUG